rnacentral:piRNA from 1 species
UCAGCAAGUUAGGAAUCGAUUAAGCCACU